AUUGAACGCUGGCGGCAGGCCUAACACAUGCAAGUCGAGCGGAUGAAGGGAGCUUGCUCCUGGAUUCAGCGGCGGACGGGUGAGUAAUGCCUAGGAAUCUGCCUGGUAGUGGGGGAUAACGUCCGGAAACGGGCGCUAAUACCGCAUACGUCCUGAGUGAGAAAGUGGGGGAUCUUCGGACCUCACUCUAUCAGAUGAGCCUAGGUCGGAUUAGCUAGUUGGUGGGGUAAAGGCCUACCAAGGCGACGAUCCGUAACUGGUCUGAGAGGAUGAUCAGUCACACUGGAACUGAGACACGGUCCAGACUCCUAAGGGAGGCAGCAGUGGGGAAUAUUGGACAAUGGGCGAAAGCCUGAUACAGCCAUGCCGCGUGUGUGAAGAAGGUCUUCGGAUUGUAAAGCACUUUAAGUUGGGAGGAAGGGCAGUAAGUUAAUACCUUGCUGUUUUGACGUUACCAACAGAAUAAGCACCGGCUAACUUCGUG
rnacentral:rRNA from 1 species